CUGAGAAUGCAAUAAAAUAUUUUGGUCUGCUUACUACAAAAAGGAAUGUAGUUUGAAUUAUAGAAGAUUUGGCUUGCUCCUUUAUAACUUGACUAAUCCACUUAUCAAUUGCAACUUUCCCAGUAAAAAGCUCCAGCAUUCUACAGUUUCAAGAUAAACUGGGAUCAGAUGUCUACAUUUAUUCAAGAAUCAAGUCGAGACGCAUAGUUUUCAGCCUAAUCGAAUUUGUAUACCAAGGUAGAGGAACUUGAAAGUCGGUGCCUUAAAUUUCAGUGGUGGAUGCAGCUGGCCAUAAAAAAGCAACUGAUGUAUGAUGCAAUGAUGCUUCCAUUAACCAAUGACAUCGAAAUUUACAGUCAAAAUCGCAUCGCGCGAAAAAUCUCACUCCAUGAUAACAAGGCUAACUAGACAGAUGUUUUGAGAAUGGUUGGAGAGCUGGAGUUGAAUUGUCAAAUAUCCUGGAAAUCCCUGCUUUCACAAGAACCUAAAGGAUGCGAAUCCGGCAUUUCUACUGGCAGAUAGCUUGAGGGACUCGCGUUAUCAAGUUAAUUGAAUGACCUACUGGAAAUGCGAUGACUUGACUAUUAGUAAUGAGAUGAGAAAGUAAUGCCUCGUUGAAAUCGAGUCUAUAGACAUUUCGAGGUCACUCAUCUAAUGGAAUUGUUGAAAACUUGAACAAUGUACUUUUAUCUAAUCUGUUUAUAUUAAAUGU